rnacentral:rRNA from 1 species
UACGAAGGGGGCAAGCGUUGUUCGGAUUUACUGGGCGUAAAGGGCGCGUAGGCGGAUCUUUAAGUCAGAGGUGAAAGCCCUGGGCUCAACCCGGGAUUUGCCUUUGAGAAUGUGGAUCUUGAGUAUGGGAGAGGGUGGCGGAAUACCCAGUGUAGAGGUGAAAUUCGUAGAUAUUGGGUAGAACACCAGUGGCGAAGGCGGCCACCUGGCCCAUAACUGACGCUGAGGCGCGAAAGCGUGGGGAGCAAACACG